ensembl:lncRNA
GUAAUGUAGCUGUGUGUAUGUAGUAAUGUAGCGGUGUGUAUGUAGUAAUGUAAUGUAGCUGUGUGUAAUGUAGCUGUGUGUAAUGUAGCUGUGUGUAUGUACUGUGUGUAAUGUAGCUGUGUGUAAUGUAGCUGUGUGUAUGUAGUAAUGUAAUGUAGCUGUGUGUAUGUAGUAAUGUAAUGUAGCUGUGUGUAUGUAGUAAUUUAAGGCCAUACAACAAUUCAUGUUAUUUUGUUCUUCAGUUGUUUUCCAGGCAACACCUUAGUCUAAUAACAAAUAAACAAUGUUAAAAACAAACAUAAAACAAACAUUGGUCUAAUCAAAUCAAAAAGACUAAUGUCUAUAUAUUCACAUAUAUUUUGUUUAUAAUAAAAAACUAGUAGAAAUGUAUAAUAAUGAAAUAUUAAGGGAGAAAAAAAAGGAUACAAAAAGUAUUCCUGUAAAAGGCUAUGUACAAGCUACAUUCUACAUACUGUACUGUGAAUAACAAGCCAUAGAAAUGAUGCAUAUUUCAGUGAUGAAGGCUAUGUUGCUGCCUUAAAGCCUACAGAGGAGUGAAAGUAUCCCCAUGUAGCCACAGUGAGAGAGCUGGAUGAGGCCUAUCAUCAUAGAACACAUGGGAUUUACAGCAUCUUCAGGAGCCCAUGAUUAGUGUUUCAAUAAGGAUCCUCCUUUAGAGAGUUAGAUAUGGGCCCUGGUCUAAAGUUGGCCACCACAUAGGGAAUAGGGCCCUGGUCUAAAGUAGUGCACUAUAUAGGGAAUAGGGUGCCAUUUGGGAUAGAGAGUUUCAAUUGACUGGCAAUACAGUCAAUGUUAGAUUAUGGAAUAUUGAUAUGGAAAUACCAAAUAAAUCCUUAUUAAAUAAUGCAUGACAAUAAUACCACAUUAUAUCCCUUUAAGGAUCAUUUACUGUGACUGUCAGCUGUGGUAAUAUACUGUUUGUACUAAUUUAGAACAAUAUAUUACACAUUUGGUUAUUUGUUUUACAGUCUUUAAAGUAGCUAAUUCAUACGGUCUAUAAUCACAAUAUCUGUCUUAAGAAAGUCUUGAAACGGAAGUAAUGGCACAUUGUGAAAUAACGUUGAGAUGUUUGUUUGGGUGUGAAAAUAUUAGUUCAAAGAUGGACACCAUUCCUUAUUGUGUUUCUUUAACCGUUCAGAGAACGACCAGAGAAAUCAGGUUGAACACUGGAACCAUCAUCAUAUUGACAUAUCUGACAUCUGAAAUUCCCUUCGCAAGUUGUUUUAUUAAGUGCCUUGUUGGCUUUCCUUUCCACGUCUAUGACAUGA